GAUUGCCCCAGUAACGGCGAGUGAAGCGGCAACAGCUCAAAUUUGAAAUCUGGCCCCUAGGGUCCGAGUUGUAAUUUGCAGAGGAUGCUUUUGACAAGGUGCCUUCCGAGUUCCCUGGAACGGGACGCCAUAGAGGGUGAGAGCCCCGUCUGGUCGGAUACCGCGUCUCUGUAAAGCUCCUUCGACGAGUCGAGUAGUUUGGGAAUGCUGCUCAAAAUGGGAGGUAUAUGUCUUCUAAAGCUAAAUAUUGGCCAGAGACCGAUAGCGCACAAGUAGAGUGAUCGAAAGAUGAAAAGCACUUUGAAAAGAGGGUUAAAAAGUACGUGAAAUUGUUGAAAGGGAAGCGCCUAUGACCAGACUUGGGCCCGGUGAAUCAUCCAGCGUUCUCGCUGGUGCACUUUGCCGGGCACAGGCCAGCAUCAGUUUGGCUUGGGGGAAAAAGGCUUUGGGAAUGUAGCUCCUCGGAGUGUUAUAGACCAUUGCAUAAUACCCUGGGCCGGACUGAGGUUCGCGCAUCUGCAAGGAUGCUGGCGUAAUGGUCAUCAGCGACCCGUCUUGAAACACGGACCAAGGAGUCGUCUUCGUAUGCGAGUGUUCGGGUGUAAAACCCCUACGCGUAAUGAAAGUGAACGCAGGUGAGAGCUUCGGCGCAUCAUCGACCGAUCCUGAUGUUCUCGGAUGGAUUUGAGUAAGAGCAUACGGGGCCGGACCCGAAAGAAGGUGAACUAUGCCUGUAUAGGGUGAAGCCAGAGGAAACUCUGGUGGAGGCUCGCAGCGGUUCUGACGUGCGAAUCGAUCGUCAAAUAUGGGCAUGGGGGCGAAAGACUAAUCGAACCUUCUAG
rnacentral:rRNA from 1 species